GGAGUCUAGCAUGUGCGCGAGUCAUUGGGAAUAACUAAACCUAAAGGCGCAAUGAAAGUGAAGGUNCGCCUUGCGCGGACCGAGGGAAGAUGGGCGUGCGCGCUCGCGCGCCGCUCCGCACUCCCGGGGCGUCUCGUUCUCAUUGCGAGAAGAGGCGCACCAAGAGCGUACACGCUGGGACCCGAAAGAUGGUGAACUAUGCCUGGUCAGGACGAAGUCAGGGGAAACCCUGAUGGAGGUCCGUAGCGAUUCUGACGUGCAAAUCGAUCGUCGGAACUGGGUAUAGGGGCGAAAGACUAAUCGAACCAUCUAGUAGCUGGUUCCCUCCGAAGUUUCCCUCAGGAUAGCUGGCGCUCGUCGCCUACGAGUCUCAUCCGGUAAAGCGAAUGAUUAGAGGCAUUGGGGUCGAAACGGCCUCAACCUAUUCUCAAACUUUAAAUGGGUGAGAUCUCCGGCUUGCUCGAACUUAUGAAGCCGCGAGACACGGAUCAGAGUGCCAAGUGGGCCAUUUUUGGUAAGCAGAACUGGCGCUGUGGGAUGAACCAAACGCCGAGUUAAAGCGCCUAAAUCGACGCUUAUGGGAUACCAUGAAAGGCGUUGGUAACUUAAGACAGCAGGACGGUGGCCAUGGAAGUCGGAAUCCGCUAAG
rnacentral:rRNA from 1 species